GGGGGAAAAUUUCCCGGUCUGUUAUGCAAGCAAAAAAUUGUUAGCCAGGGAACAAGCAUACUCCGUGAUCGAGCGGGAAUGUCUCGCUCUAGUUUGGGCGGUGAAAAAGUUCUAUGUGUACUUAUUUGGAACACAGUUUAUUCUAGAAACUGAUCACCAUCCACUGGCCUACCUUGCAAAGGCAAAAUUGAAUAACGACAGAGUGAUGAGAUGGGCACUUGCCCUACAGCCAUACAAGUAUAUGGUCAGAGUUGUCAAGGGUUCAGAGAACCAUGGAGCUGAUUUCUUAAGUAGAUGUCAAAUAGAGGAGUAAUUAAUUCUAAGGAUAUGUAAUAUUGAAUUUGAUUUGGUGACAGUUAUAGAAAGAUCCAUUAAAACGUAUCUUCUUAGCAUGGGGAAGUGUCACAAACGUCAAUAUAUUUGAGAAAUUAAUUAUUUUGUGGGAUCUAUUUGAUUAUGAUUGUGAUUGUAUAAGUUUGGUCCUUAUAAUUGGAUAAGAGUCCUUGUUAUUGUUGUAUAAGAUUAUUGUUUAUGAUUAUAUGAAAUUUGGUGAAGAAGUGUUAAAAUCAUGGUCGUUUAAUACAUGUAAUGAAACUCACUUUAAACUACAAAUUUAAUGGUUGAUUUGACACUAGUUGCCACUUUAAACCAUGUGCAUUCGCGUGUUGAGAUAUCUUUUGUCAACUACCACACAGGGAAAGGUUUACUUGCUUGGGUGUAAUACAAAGAGCUCUGUUCCUUAUUUGGUUUAAACAUGCAAAUUGCUCAGGUGAACCCCACAUUUGUAGAAUGUCAUUUGAAGAAUGGUUUAAGAAUUUUAGAGCUGCAAUGCUGUUGGUCUGUUAGGAUCGGGUGGUUAAUCCCAACAAAUAUGUUUGGAGUGGUAUAAAAUGAAAUGUUUGGAGUGAUGCGUCACUUAGUAGCUUACUCACCGGCUCGAGGACACGGGGGUAUUGAGGCCCUUGUUUUGCUCUCCAGUUUGGGGAAGGCCGACGGAUAGGCGCUCAAAUUUGUGUAUUGCCGGCCUGAUGCCGAUGAAUUUUGAAGACGCCCGUUUGGCAAUGGGUUUGCCGAGUUCGGGGGGCUACUAAGUCACUUACCUCAAAAGCCAGAUUUAUUCUGGUUUUUUUGGUUGGAACGGGGACACGCUUUUUCACCUGAAUGUUCCAUCGAUGAGCUACCGGGAGCGCCGCGCCGACGACCAGAAUCCUGUGGACUGGACGUCACCCACUGGAGGCCGUCGACACCCGUAACCCGAUGUCUCUGUUCGUGUCCGUGCCGGUAUUCUUAUGUUGGUGGUGGGGAUUUAUAUUGUAAUUAAAUGUCAAUUGUAAAUAUUGUAAUUUAUUUUGAUUAAGUUAGUUGGUUGUAUUAAAUUUCUUUAUUUCCAUACAAUUG